CCUACGGGAGGCAGCAGUGGGGAAUUUUGGACAAUGGGCGCAAGCCUGAUCCAGCCAUGCCGCGUGAGUGAAGAAGGCCUUCGGGUUGUAAAGCUCUUUCGGCGGGGAAGAAAAGGUUCGUGCUAAUACCACGAACUAAUGACGGUACCCGAAGAAGAAGCACCGGCUAACUACGUGCCAGCAGCCGCGGUAAUACGUAGGGUGCAGGCGUUAAUCGGAAUUACUGGGCGUAAAGCGUGCGCAGGCGGUUUGUUAAGACAGAUGUGAAAUCCCCGGGCUUAACCUGGGAACUGCGUUUGUAACUGGCAAGCUAGAGUGUGGCAGAGGGGGGUGGAAUUCCAAGUGUAGCAGUGAAAUGCGUAGAUAUUUGGAGGAACACCGAUGGCGAAGGCAGCCCCCUGGGCUAACACUGACGCUCAUGCACGAAAGCGUGGGGAGCAAACAGGAUUAGAUACCCUGGUAGUCCACGCCCUAAACUAUGUCAACUGGUUGUCGGGGAAGCAAUUCCUUGGUAACGAAGCUAACGCGUGAAGUUGACCGCCUGGGGAGUCGGCCGCAAGGUUAAAACCUCAAAUAAUUGACGG
rnacentral:rRNA from 1 species